rnacentral:rRNA from 1 species
AUAUCCUACGGGAGGCAGCAGUAGGGAAUUUUCGUCAAUGGGCGCAAGCCUGAACGAGCAAUGCCGCGUGAACGAGGAAGGUACAGAGUAUCGUAAACCUCUUUUGUCAGGGAACAAAGACUGGGACGCGUCCCCGGAUGAGUGUACCUGAAGAAAAAGCAUCGGCUAACUCCGUGCCAGCAGCCGCGGUAAUACGGAGGAUGCGAGCGUUAUCCGGAUUUAUUGGGUUUAAAGGGUGCGCAGGCGGUCUGUUAAGUCAGCGGUCAAAGCCCGGGGCUCAACCCCGGCCCGCCGUUGCAACUGGC